AGAGUUUGAUUCUGGCUCAGAACGUACGCUGGCGGCACGCCUAACACAUGCAAGUCGAACGAAGUAGCAAUACUUAGUGGCAGACGGGUGAGUAACAUGUAGGUAUCUGCCCUUUGGCCUGGAAUAACACGAGGAAACUUGUGCUAAUACCGGAUAAGUCUUUACGGAGAAAGCUUUAUGCACCAUUGGAUGAGCCUGCACUUGAUUAGUUUGUUGGUGGGGUAAUGGCCUACCAAGACUGUGAUCAAUAGCUGAUUUGAGAGGAUGAUCAGCCACAUUGGGACUGAGACACGGCCCAAACUCCUACGGGAGGCAGCAGUGGGGAAUCUUGCACAAUGGAGGAAACUCUGAUGCAGCGAUGCCGCGUGAGUGAAGAAGGCCCUUGGGUUGUAAAACUCUUUCGUCGGGGAAGAAAAUGACUGUACCCGAAUAAGAAGGUCCGGCUAACUUCGUGCCAGCAGCCGCGGUAAUACGAAGGGACCUAGCGUAGUUCGGAAUUACUGGGCUUAAAGAGUUCGUAGGUGGUUGAAAAAGUUAGUGGUGAAAUCCCAGAGCUUAACUCUGGAACUGCCAUUAAAACUUUUCAGCUAGAGUAUGAUAGAGGAAAGCAGAAUUUCUAGUGUAGAGGUGAAAUUCGUAGAUAUUAGAAAGAAUACCAAUUGCGAAGGCAGCUUUCUGGAUCAUUACUGACACUGAGGAACGAAAGCAUGGGUAGCGAAGAGGAUUAGAUACCCUCGUAGUCCAUGCCGUAAACGAUGUGUGUUAGACGUUGGAAAUUUAUUUUCAGUGUCGCAGGGAAACCGAUAAACACACCGCCUGGGGAGUACGACCGCAAGGUUAAAACUCAAAUGAAUUGACGGGGACCCGCACAAGUAGUGGAGCAUGUGGUUUAAUUCGAAGAUACGCGCAGAACCUUACCAACACUUGACAUGUUCGUCGCGACUCUAAGAGAUUAGAGUUUUCGGUUCGGCCGGACGAAACACAGGUGCUGCAUGGCUGUCGUCAGCUCGUGUCGUGAGAUGUUGGGUUAAGUCCCGCAACGAGCGCAACCCUCACUUUUAGUUGCCAUCAUUAAGUUGGGCACUCUAAAAGAACUGCCAGUGAUAAGCUGGAGGAAGGUGGGGAUGACGUCAAGUCCUCAUGGCCCUUACGUGUUGGGCUACACACGUGCUACAAUGGUAUCUACAACAGGAAGCAAGACUGCGAAGUUAAGCAAAUCCCUAAAAGAUACCUCAGUUCGGAUUGCACUCUGCAACUCGAGUGCAUGAAGCUGGAAUUACUAGUAAUCGUGGAUCAGCGUGCCACGGUGAAUGCGUUCCCGGGUCUUGUACACACCGCCCGUCACACCAUGGGAGUUGGUUCUACCUUAAGGCAAGGUUUCAAACCCUUGACCACGGUAUAGUCAGCGACUGGGGUGAAGUCGUAACAAGGUA
rnacentral:rRNA from 1 species